rnacentral:tRNA from 1 species
GCGCGUGUAGUUCAGUGGUAGAACAUUCGCCUGAUAAGCGAAAGGUCCUUGGUCCGAUUCCAAGCACGCGCACCA